AUUUCACUUUCUCCUCUUUUGUCCCGCAGACGUCCCAUAACUUCGUCUUCGUCCACGAUUUGGUCUCCACGGUCGCUCUGCCCUCGGACUACCAGGAACCUUCGAAUGGGACUAUUUGCACGGCCGUCGGAUGGGGCUACACGGUGGAAGGCGGAGACGUGAGCAGCGACCUGCGCUACGUGGACCUCCCUUACCUGACGGACGAGGAGUGCAGGACAUCUACGGGGAGGACUCCGUCAUGAUCGAAUGAUUUGCGCUGGCUUCCUCGGCGGCCAAGGAGUGUGCAACGGCGACUCGGGCGGACCCUCUCUGCGACGGCGUCCAGCAGGGCAUCGUGUCCUGGGGCUCCGGCUGCGACGCCUACCCCGCCGUCUACACGCAGGUCUCGCACUACCUUGACUGGAUCAAAAUUAACAUGGAAGCUUAAGUCGCGUAUCAAACUAGCCCAUUUUCGCUGAUUUCUGACAUAAACAACUCUUUUGAGGUCGUGCUUCACAUCCGGCUUUAUAAGCGAAGAUUAAUCUCAAAAUCGUAAAUUUGGAUGGCAAAAGCUCAAGCAUCUUCUAGAAAAUCUGAUUUACAUUCCAUGUCAGAAAGAAAACAACAGUCUGAUCCUC